rnacentral:rRNA from 1 species
CCUACGGGGGGCAGCAGUGGGGAAUAUUGGACAAUGGGGGGAACCCUGAUCCAGCCAUGCCGCGUGUGUGAAGAAGGCCCUCGGGUUGUAAAGCACUUUCAGUGAGGAAGAACGCCUGGUGGUUAAUACCCAUCAGGAAAGACAUCACUCACAGAAGAAGCACCGGCUAACUCCGUGCCAGCAGCCGCGGUAAUACGGAGGGUGCGAGCGUUAAUCGGAAUUACUGGGCGUAAAGCGCGCGUAGGUGGCUUGAUAAGCCGGUUGUGAAAGCCCCGGGCUCAACCUGGGAACGGCAUCCGGAACUGUCAAGCUAGAGUGCAGGAGAGGAAGGUAGAAUUCCCGGUGUAGCGGUGAAAUGCGUAGCGAUCGGGAGGAAUACCAGUGGCGAAGGCGGCCUUCUGGACUGACACUGACACUGAGGUGCGAAAGCGUGGGUAGCAAACAGGAUUAGAUACCCUGGUAGUC